rnacentral:misc_RNA from 1 species
AUAAAGGGUCUGGUGCAGAGGGUGGCACAAGGCGGUGAUAAGCUUGAGUGUGGAGUGGCGGGAGCUCGCAGUCAUCCUGAGACAGUGGUUCUGAGCAGACGUCUGUUCCUUGGCUUGUAAUACACACACUCCCUCAACAUGGCGGACCAACUGACCGAGGAGCAGAUUGCCGAGUUCAAGGAGGCUUUCUCCUUGUUCGAUAAGGACGGUGACGGUACCAUCACCACCAAGGAAUUGGGCACCGUGAUGCGUUCCCUGGGCCAGAACCCCACCGAGGCGGAGCUCCAGGACAUGAUAAACGAGGUGGACGCCGACGGUAACGGAACUAUCGAUUUCCCCGAGUUCCUCACGAUGAUGGCGCGCAAAAUGAAAGACACUGAUUCUGAGGAAGAGAUCAGGGAAGCCUUCCGAGUGUUUGAUAAGGACGGCAACGGCUUCAUCUCUGCGGCUGAGCUUAGGCAUGUGAUGACCAACCUGGGAGAGAAACUUACUGAUGAAGAGGUUGAUGAAAUGAUCAGGGAAGCUGAUAUUGACGGUGAUGGUCAGGUCAACUAUGAAGAAUUUGUGAGAAUGAUGACCUCACGUUAGUGCCUCGGCGUCUGAACUCCCUUCGCCCGUGACUCACCUUCUUAACAUUAGUCUCACCUAGUUCGUCACAAUGAUGACAUCAAAGUGAAGUGAUCGCGCCCACUAAUAUUGUAAACAAAUUUCAAACGAACAGUUUUUUCUGCUUUCCAAUUUAUCUUGUUAAAGGAACUGCUAAAACCCAUUAUAAUAUUAAUAAUAAACGUCACGAUACUGUC